CACUAUCGUUAACUGAAUACAUAGGUUAACGAGGCGAACCGGGGGAACUGAAACAUCUAAGUACCCCGAGGAAAAGAAAUCAACCGAGAUUCCCCCAGUAGCGGCGAGCGAACGGGGAGCAGCCCAGAGUCUGAAUCAGCUUGUGUGUUAGUGGAACGGUCUGGAAAGUCCGACGGUACAGGGUGAUAGUCCCGUACACCAAAAUGCACAGGCUGUGAACUCGAAGAGUAGGGCGGGACACGUGGUAUCCUGUCUGAAUAUGGGGGGACCAUCCUCCAAGGCUAAAUACUCCUGACUGACCGAUAGUGAACCAGUACCGUGAGGGAAAGGCGAAAAGAACCCCGGCGAGGGGAGUGAAAAAGAACCUGAAACCGUGUACGUACAAGCAGUGGGAGCACCUUCGGGUGUGACUGCGUACCUUUUGUAUAAUGGGUCAGCGACUUAUAUUCUGUAGCAAGGUUAACCGUAUAGGGGAGCCGCAGGGAAACCGAGUCUUAACUGGGCGUUAAGUUGCAGGGUAUAGACCCGAAACCCGGUGAUCUAGCCAUGGGCAGGUUGAAGGUUGGGUAACACUAACUGGAGGACCGAACCGACUAAUGUUGAAAAAUUAGCGGAUGACUUGUGGCUGGGGGUGAAAGGCCAAUCAAACCGGGAGAUAGCUGGUUCUCCCCGAAAGCUAUUUAGGUAGCGCCUCGUGAAUUCAUCUUCGGGGGUAGAGCACUGUUUCGGCUAGGGGGUCAUCCCGACUUACCAACCCGAUGCAAACUACGAAUACCGAAGAAUGUUAUCACGGGAGACACACGGCGGGUGCUAACGUCCGUCGUGAAGAGGGAAACAACCCAGACCGCCAGCUAAGGUCCCAAAGUCAUGGUUAAGUGGGAAACGAUGUGGGAAGGCACAGACAGCCAGGAUGUUGGCUUAGAAGCAGCCAUCAUUUAAAGAAAGCGUAAUAGCUCACUGGUCGAGUCGGCCUGCGCGGAAGAUGUAACGGGGCUAAACCAUGCACCGAAGCUGCGGCAGCGACACUAUGUGUUGUUGGGUAGGGGAGCGUUCUGUAAGCCUGCGAAGGUGACCUGUGAGGGUUGCUGGAGGUAUCAGAAGUGCGAAUGCUGACAUAAGUAACGAUAAAGCGGGUGAAAAGCCCGCUCGCCGGAAGACCAAGGGUUCCUGUCCAACGUUAAUCGGGGCAGGGUGAGUCGACCCCUAAGGCGAGGCCGAAAGGCGUAGUCGAUGGGAAACAGGUUAAUAUUCCUGUACUUGGUGUUACUGCGAAGGGGGGACGGAGAAGGCUAUGUUAGCCGGGCGACGGUUGUCCCGGUUUAAGCAUGUAGGCUGGUUAUCCAGGCAAAUCCGGAUAAUCAAGGCUGAGGUGUGAUGACGAGGCACUACGGUGCUGAAGUAACAAAUGCCCUGCUUCCAGGAAAAGCCUCUAAGCAUCAGGUAACAUCAAAUCGUACCCCAAACCGACACAGGUGGUCAGGUAGAGAAUACCAAGGCGCUUGAGAGAACUCGGGUGAAGGAACUAGGCAAAAUGGUGCCGUAACUUCGGGAGAAGGCACGCUGGUGUGUAGGUGAAGUCCCUGCGGAUGGAGCUGAGACCAGUCGAAGAUACCAGCUGGCUGCAACUGUUUAUUAAAAACACAGCACUGUGCAAACACGAAAGUGGACGUAUACGGUGUGACGCCUGCCCGGUGCCGGAAGGUUAAUUGAUGGGGUUAUCCGUAAGGAGAAGCUCUUGAUCGAAGCCCCGGUAAACGGCGGCCGUAACUAUAACGGUCCUAAGGUAGCGAAAUUCCUUGUCGGGUAAGUUCCGACCUGCACGAAUGGCGUAAUGAUGGCCAGGCUGUCUCCACCCGAGACUCAGUGAAAUUGAACUCGCUGUGAAGAUGCAGUGUACCCGCGGCAAGACGGAAAGACCCCGUGAACCUUUACUAUAGCUUGACACUGAACAUUGAGCCUUGAUGUGUAGGAUAGGUGGGAGGCUUUGAAGCGUGGACGCCAGUCUGCGUGGAGCCAACCUUGAAAUACCACCCUUUAAUGUUUGAUGUUCUAACGUUGGCCCCUGACCGGGGUUGCGGACAGUGUCUGGUGGGUAGUUUGACUGGGGCGGUCUCCUCCCAAAGCGUAACGGAGGAGCACGAAGGUUAGCUAAUCCUGGUCGGACAUCAGGAGGUUAGUGCAAUGGCAUAAGCUAGCUUGACUGCGAGCGUGACGGCGCGAGCAGGUGCGAAAGCAGGUCAUAGUGAUCCGGUGGUUCUGAAUGGAAGGGCCAUCGCUCAACGGAUAAAAGGUACUCCGGGGAUAACAGGCUGAUACCGCCCAAGAGUUCAUAUCGACGGCGGUGUUUGGCACCUCGAUGUCGGCUCAUCACAUCCUGGGGCUGAAGUAGGUCCCAAGGGUAUGGCUGUUCGCCAUUUAAAGUGGUACGCGAGCUGGGUUUAGAACGUCGUGAGACAGUUCGGUCCCUAUCUGCCGUGGGCGCUGGAGAAUUGAGGGGGGCUGCUCCUAGUACGAGAGGACCGGAGUGGACGCAUCACUGGUGUUCGGGUUGUCAUGCCAAUGGCACUGCCCGGUAGCUAAAUGCGGAAGAGAUAAGUGCUGAAAGCAUCUAAGCACGAAACUUGCCCCGAGAUGAGUUCUCCCUGAGACUUUAAGUCUCCUGAAGGAACGUUGAAGACGACGACGUUGAUAGGCCGGGUGUGUAAGCGCAGCGAUGCGUUGAGCUAACCGGUACUAAUGAACCGUGAGGCUUAACCUU
rnacentral:rRNA from 1 species